rnacentral:rRNA from 1 species
UAGAGUUUGAUCAUGGCUCAGAUUGAACGCUGGCGGCAGGCCUAACACAUGCAAGUCGAGCGGAAACGAUGGAAGCUUGCUUCCAGGCGUCGAGCGGCGGACGGGUGAGUAAUGCAUGGGAAUCUGCCCGAUAGUGGGGGAUAACCUGGGGAAACCCAGGCUAAUACCGCAUACGUCCUACGGGAGAAAGCAGGGGAUCUUCGGACCUUGCGCUAUCGGAUGAGCCCAUGUCGGAUUAGCUUGUUGGUGAGGUAAUGGCUCACCAAGGCGACGAUCCGUAGCUGGUCUGAGAGGAUGAUCAGCCACAUCGGGACUGAGACACGGCCCGAACUCCUACGGGAGGCAGCAGUGGGGAAUAUUGGACAAUGGGCGAAAGCCUGAUCCAGCCAUGCCGCGUGUGUGAAGAAGGCCCUCGGGUUGUAAAGCACUUUCAGUGGGGAAGAAAGCCUUGGGAUUAAUACUCCCGAGGAAGGACAUCACCCACAGAAGAGACCG